rnacentral:sRNA from 1 species
AUCCUUUGUGAGAUCUGGUUUUACUGAAAUCUCAGAAGGGAGUUUUUUAUUCACACCAUCGCUGCAGCUCUUUCUGUUUUCAAAGGAGGAGGUUGGUU